rnacentral:rRNA from 1 species
GGGCGGCACAGAGGGAAGCCAGGUGGCGACACCGCGCGGAACCCGAAAGCCGUUCUCAGUUCGGAUCGGAGUCUGCAACCCGACUCCGUGAAGCUGGAUUCGCUAGUAAUCGCGCAUCAGCCAUGGCGCGGUGAAUACGUUCCCGGGCCUUGUACACACCGCCCGUCAAGCCAUGGGAGCCGGGGGUGCUUGAAGUGCGUCGCCGCAAGGCGCGCCCUAGAGCAAAACCGGUGACUGGGGCUAAGUCGUAACAAGGUACC